AUGAACGCUGGCGGCGUGCCUAAUACAUGCAAGUCGAGCGAACGGACGAGAAGCUUGCUUCUCUGAUGUUAGCGGCGGACGGGUGAGUAACACGUGGAUAACCUACCUAUAAGACUGGGAUAACUUCGGGAAACCGGAGCUAAUACCGGAUAAUAUUUUGAACCGCAUGGUUCAAAAGUGAAAGACGGUCUUGCUGUCACUUAUAGAUGGAUCCGCGCUGCAUUAGCUAGUUGGUAAGGUAACGGCUUACCAAGGCAACGAUGCAUAGCCGACCUGAGAGGGUGAUCGGCCACACUGGAACUGAGACACGGUCCAGACUCCUACGGGAGGCAGCAGUAGGGAAUCUUCCGCAAUGGGCGAAAGCCUGACGGAGCUACGCCGCGUGAGUGAUGAAGGUCUUCGGAUCGUAAAACUCUGUUAUUAGGGAAGAACAUAUGUGUAAGUAACUGUGCACAUCUUGACGGUACCUAAUCAGAAAGCCACGGCUAACUACGUG
rnacentral:rRNA from 1 species